CUACUUCCUGUAUGACGUUACUUCCAGCAUCAUACUACUUCCCCUGUAACUUUGGGAGUGAUUUGCCCUCUCAGAGGAUUUCAUCCAUCCGCCCAGUCUCAACACAGAGAGGAUGGCUGUUGUGGUGUCUGUUCACGGUGAUGCCCAGGCCAGCACUUGGAUACCCUUGAUGUGUUACCACUGGACCUUCUAAGCACUUGGGGGCAGAUGUGGGGAGACUGAGGCCCGGGAAGACCACGCAGCACCCCACAUUUGGACGGAUCUGUUUAGAGCCAGAAUGAUGCCCAGGACUUGGCUCCCCGGGCAUCCAGGACCUGCUCUGCCUUUCCCACAGCGUGACACCACUUCUGACUCCACUA